rnacentral:misc_RNA from 1 species
GAUGAAGAACGUAGUGAAAUGCGAUAAGUAGUGUGAAUUGCAGAAUUCAGUGAAUCAUCGAAUCUUUGAACGCACAUUGCGGCCAUAGGUAUUCCUUUGGCCAUGCCUGUUCGAGCGUCAUUUACACCCUCAAGCCUAGCUUGGUGUUGGGCGUCUGUCCCGCCGUUUUCGCGCGCGGACUCGCCUCAAAGUCAUUGGCGGCGGUCGUGCCGGCCCCCUCGCGCAGCACAUUUGCGCUUCUCGGAGGCCCGGCGGAUCCGCGCUCCAGCAAGACCUUUCACGACUUGACCUCGGAUCAGGUAGGGAUACCCGCUGAACUUAAGCAUAUCAAUAGCGGAGGA